rnacentral:tRNA from 1 species
GGGCCUAUAGCUUAGUUGGUCAGAGCGCCCGGCUCAUAACCGGGAGGUCAUGCGUUCGAGUCGCAUUAGGCCCA